GCGCCCGUAGCUCAGCUGGAUAGAGUACCUGGCUACGAACCAGGUGGUCGGGAGUUCGAAUCUCUCCAGGCGCGCCA
rnacentral:tRNA from 1 species